rnacentral:rRNA from 1 species
AUUGAACGCUGGCGGCAUGCUUUACACAUGCAAGUCGAACGGCAGCACGGGGGCGAACCCUCGGUGGCGAGUGGCGAACGGGUGAGUAACACAUCGGAACGUGUCCAGUUGUGGGGGAUAACCCAUCGAAAGGUGGGCUAAUACCGCAUGAGCUGGCAACAGGAAAGCGGGGACCGCAAGGCCUUGUGCGAUUGGAGCGGCCGAUGUCCAAUUAGCUAGUUGGGUGGGGAAAGGCCUACCAAGGCUUCGAUCGGUAGCUGGUCUGAGAGGAUGAUCAGCCACACUGGGACUGAGACACGGCCCAGACUCC